AUAUAUAUUUUAUAAGUGAAUUAUAAUAUAUAAAAUUAGUGAAGAUGGAUUGUGCUUUCUGCAACCGUACGAUGGAGGGCUGCGCGUCCAUAAAGUGCAGUCUUUGUGCGUCGCAGUACCACUUGGAGUGCGUGAGCAGUGAGCACCUGGUGCCGAGCACGAACACCUGGCGGUGCUGCCGCUGCGAGUCUCUCAACUCCGCCGCCACACAGCCCAAGAUCGACACUGCCGUCCGCGUGUAGAAUGUAACUUUGUUGUAACUGGUAAAUUGAUUGUGAACUUCCCACCAAGGCAUAUUUGGAAAUAAAUGUAUUUUGCUUUACAGUGAA